rnacentral:lncRNA from 9 species
GUGCAGCGAUCCACAGCAAAGACAAAGUUCCAGACCAGGACCUUCUCUGGAGGAGCAGAGGAUUUGAAUCAUACGUGGGGCAAUUCAACUUUUAAGGUUUGGACGCGAGAAACAAAGCUCCCCAAACAUCUAACUUUAAAAGCCAACAGGGCUUGCAUCUGGGACCCACAUGACUGUGUAUAGUGACCUGAGAAACGAAGAACUCACGCUACUCACCUACCCAGAGUCCCAGCAGCAGAAGCAGCAGCAGCAGCAGCAGCAGCAGCAAACGGCGCCCAGAUGCCAAGUGAAGGAGGCUCACCUGCUUCUAUGCAUUGGCUACUGCACUAGGAUUAAAAUGAAAGAAACUGGAUCCAAUCCAACAUGGGCUUGGAAGAGGCCACUGAGCUCCAAAGCACAGCAAUGACACCUGGAUGGCAGCCUCAUGAGACUCUGAAAGUGAGGACAGAAGCUCUUUUAUGACCAGAUGCAUAAACCAUGAAAACUCAGGUAACAACGGUAUUAAACUACAAAGGUAAAAAUACUGAUUUCCUUAGCUUUUUAAAUAAAAAUUCACUCUCCUAAAUUUUUCUUCGACAAUAACCCAAACAUACAGUUAAGAUGAUAUGGUUUUAAAAGCACUUGGCAGGGGUGUCAAUAUAUUGUGAAAAUUAGUGUAAAAUUGCUGUCUAGGCACUAAGAUAGGUUGUUACCUAGAUUCCUGCAUGGUGAAGCUAACUUUGUCCUUUCAGGAUUCUGGUGGUUUAGGCGAUGCCAACAAGCCUAGUGAAAUAGUCUGAAUAGUCUCUCCUGACACUGUUGCUAUGUAAAAACUUCAAGAUUUUCAUGACCUAUAUUAUCUCAAAAUGUUAGUGUGAUGUAACUUGGUUGGGGAUUCUUUACUGGGUGCUGGUUUUCCAAAUGGUGCCCAUGCAGUGUGGAGGCUGGUUUCUGAAAUUAUUGAAGUAGUUCCAUGUGAUGUUCCUUCUGAUGUAAUUUUCAGGAAUGACUACCAUAAUUUUCAUCUCCUUAACUCUCAUAAUAUGGAGCUGGCAAACUUUAUAAACUGAUGAAGACAGACUUGAAAGAAACUGGUGAUAAUUCCUCUCUUCUGUGGUCCCUAGGAAUUGAGUUGAAACCAGAAAUUUCCUAUAUAAGUAAAACGCAUUAUUGAAUAAAACAUCUAACAGUGCUUCCUGACCAGCAUUGCUCAUAAUGAAGUAAAACUGCCUGUCUUAGAUCUAGAAGAAAAUAAUAUUUCCAAUAGACACACACAUGAAUACAAACAUGACAUAAAGAGAGUAGCUUUAAAGAGAUUUUGUUGAACAGAUACCAUUAAAAAGGUCCAAUGAUCAUUUGCGUCGUCACUCACACCCCAUGAUGCCUGGGCCCUCAGCAUUUUGUGGUAAUAAAAAUCUAUUUGCUAUAGAUCAGUGGAACAGGAUGGAAAGACCAGAAUUAAACCCGUGCACCUACAGUCAACUAAUCUAUGACAAAGGAGGCAAGAAUAUACAAUGGAGAAAAGACAGUCCCUUCAAUAAGUGGUGUUGGGAAAAACUGGACAGCCACAUGUAAAAGAAUGAAAUCAGAACACUUUCUAACACCAUACAGAAAAAUAAACUCAAAAUGGAUUAAAGACUAAAUAUAAGACCAGAUACUAAAAAACUCUUAGAGGAAAACAUAGGCCAAACACUCUCUGACAUAAACCACAGCAACAUCUUCUCAGAUUCACCUCUUAGAGUAAUGACAAUAAAAAUAAAAAUAAACAAAGGGGACAUAAUUAAACUUAAAAGCUUCUACACAGCAAAGGAAACCCUAAAGAAAACAAAAAGACAACCCAAAGAAUGGGAGAAAUAUUUGCAAAUGAAGCAACACACAAGGGAUUAAUCUCCAAAAUUUAUAAACACCUUCUGCAGCUCAAUACCAAAAAAGCAAGCAAAACCAUCAAAAAAUGGGCAGAAGAUCUAAACAGACAGUUCUCCAAAGAAGACAUACAGAUGGCCAAAAAACACAUGAAAAGAUGUUCAACACCACUAAUUAUUACAGAAAUGUAAAUCGAAACCACUUAAACUGGCCAGAAUGGCCAUCAUCAAAAAGUCUACAAACAAUAAGUAUUGGAGAGGGCGUGGAGAAAAGGAAACCCUAUCACACUGUUGGUGGGAAUGUAAACUGGUGCAACCACUGUGGAAAACAGUACGGAGAUUCCUCAAAAAACUAAACAUAGAACUACCAUUUGACCCAGCAAUCCCACUCCUGGGCAUCUAACUAGAGAAAACCAUGACUCAAAAAGAUACAUGUACUCCAAUGUUCAUCGCAGCACUAUAUACAAUAGCCUAGACAUGGAAACAACCUAAGUGUCCAUCAACAGAGGAGUGGAUCCAGAAGAUGUGAUACAUAUACACAAUGGAAUAUUACUCAGCCACUGAAAGGAAUGAAAUACCGGGAUUUUCAGCAACACCGAUGGACCUAGAAAUUAUCAUGUUAAAUGAAGUCAGUCAGAUAGUGAGACACCAACAUCAAAUGCUCUCACUUACAUGUGGAAUCUAAAAAAAUGACACAAUGAACUUCUUUCAUAACUGAUACUGACUCACAGACUUUGAAAAAGUUAUGAUUUCCAAAUGAGACAAGUUCGGGGUGGGGGGAUGGGCUGAGGGUUUGCAAUAGAAAUGCUAUAAAAUUUGGUUGUGAUGACCAUUGUACAACUGUAAAUGUAAUAAAAUUCAUUGAAUAAUUAAAAAAAAUUUUUCAAAAAUCCCUGGUUAAAAAAAAAAUCUAUUUGCAUUUCCAUACUUGUCACUGGAGGCAUUCUACAGUCAGUUAGGAAAGAUUUAAAUUCUGAUAAAAAUGUAAUGAACCUAGAGCUGACGUAUACAUGCUUAUAAGAUGACAAGUUAUGAUCAGUGCAUUCUUAAAGAUGGUGAUCUCUGCUUAUUAAUCCUAGCAGGAGGUCUCAGUUUAUUAAUUCUAGCUGCUCACUAAUCCUUUCCCUUUCAAUGAAAUGACUUGUAAAAGGUAACAGUGCUUAAAUGUAUCUGUUAUUCUACAGCAAGCUUGUGAAAUACUUCAGUCUUGAGUGACUCAAAGUCAUUCAAGAUUUACACUGAAUUUGCAUUUGGUGCUUUGUCUUCUUCUCGUUUUCUAGUUCUACUCUGAUGGUAUUUCCUGUUUCUUAAGAAACCAACAAAAGGUUAAGUGCAUGAUUAUGAGGCACCUAGUUUAGGUCUGAUGAGUUUGCUAAGGUAAGGUGUUCUGGAGGUUGAGGAGAUCUAUGAGGAAUGCUAUGAAAGGCUGACUGAUUAAAUACCAACUUGCCCACAAGGAAUUACCUGGCUGUUGGCAAAUAAGACUAAACUUUAUUCACAUUCACAAAAAUUACAAACAUAAGCACUAAUUUCCACAUACCCAUGAAUGCAUAAGAUAAAAAUAGAAGCAGUAAAAAUAAGCAUGGAUGGCUUCUUCUGAGUUAUUUAUGCUUGUUUUUUUGUAUCUGAUUUGUGCAUUUGUUACUUGUUUUCAUGAAUUAGUAAAUACUAGGUAAUGGUUUCAAAGGCUCAAGAAAAAAAUAGGAAUUUUUAAAAUGUUAAGAGUAUAUUAAAAAUAAUAUGAUAAUAUUCCCAAAUUUCUUCCUAAAGAAUGUUAAAUUCCUCUGACAUAUAUUAGUUAUGGUUUAUCUCAGCCACAGUUUGAGUAUGACAAAUCUAAUGCUCUAAUAUGAAGAAAUUCUCUGAUGAAUUAUAAUAAUAUACAAGGUGAUAAAUGACAUCCAGUAUUUAAUCUGGAUGAGGAUAAAUUAUGAGAAAAGAGAAACUUAACUCUCAAGCCAGUUGAGGAGGUUAUUGAUAUAUUCUGUAAAACAUUUACAUAUAGAUUCUCAACAAAAUAAAAUAAAGGCACAAAGCACUGUGGCACAUCUGUGGCAAAGAGAAUAUGGGUAAAUGGAUACCACUGUUAAAGCUAAUUUUUGAAAUAAAAAAACAAAAUAAAUAAAAUAUAAAGAUGAAUAUCCUUAAGUUGAGCAUGUAUUUAGUGGAGUUGCCAUUGUAGCUCAGUGGUAAUGAACCCGACUAGUAUCCAUGAGGACAUGGGUUUGACCACUGGGCUCCAUCAGUGAGUUAAGGAUCCAGUGUUUCUGUGAGCUGUGGUGUAAGUCACAGAUGUGGCUCGGAUCUUGCAUUGCUAUAGCUGUGGCAUAGUUUGGGGUCUUACAGCUCUGAUUUGGUCCCUAGCCUGGGAACUUCCAUAUGCCAUGGAUGCGGCACUAAAAAUACCAAAAAUAAUGAAUAUAGUAUUAAAAUAUGUAGUAAUUUACUCAAGGUAAAAUAGAAACUUGCAAAUUGUUUGUAUAAUGAAUUAGAAUAUAAAAAGGAGAUGAUAUGUAAAUAUGUUUUACUUAAACCGUAUUGACAUACAUUGAUAUUAUGCUUGUACUUUAAGGAAGACUAUUUACAUUUAGCUAUUAUUUACUGUUGUGUUACAAACCAUCAUUUUAUGAUUUACAUAUCGAUUGAAAGUUGACUAAACAGCCACCUUGUUCUACCACAUUAUGUCUUCUAUGUAUCAUUCAAAAAUUCUUGUCUGACCUAUUUGGUUUAGUUGCCAUCCUGUGGAUUUAUGGUUUAAAGAUAUGGAUAAACUUCUGCAAAUCUACAGUAAUGUAAACAUCAUGAUAUUCACACAAAAAGAAACAUGUGGAUCAAUGGGACAGAAUAGAGAGCCCAGAAAUAAACCCACACAUGAUCGAUUAAUCUUUGGCAAAGAAGGCAAGAAUAUACAAUGAGAAACUGUCUUCAACAAGUGGUGCUGGGAAAGUUGGACAGUCACAUGUAAGUCAAUGAAAUUAGAAGUGGCCUUUCACAAUAUACAAAAAUAAACUCAAAAUUAAAGACUUAAAUAUAAGACAUGAUACAAUAAAACUCCUAGAAGAGAAUAUAGGCAAAACAUUCUUUGACCUAAAUUGUUCCAAUGUUUUCUUAGAUUAGUCACCCUAGGCAAUAGAAAUAAAAGCAAAAAUAAACAAAUAUGACCUAAUCAAACUUUUAAGUUUUUUACAGCAAAGGAAACCAUAAACAAAAUAAAAAGACCCAUAGAAUGGAAGAAAAUAUUUGCAAUGAUGCAACCAACAAGGACUUGACUUCCCAAAUAGACAAACAGCUCAUACAACUCAAUACAAACACAAACAAACAAACAACUCAAUAAAUAAAUGGGUAGAUGAUCUAAACAGACAUUUCUCUUAAAAAUAUAUACAUAUAGGCAACAGGUACCUGAAAAGAUACUCAACAUCACCAAUAAUUAUAGAAAUGCAAAUCAAAACCACAAUGAGUUAUCACAUUACACUGGUUUGAAUGGCCAUCAUUAAAAAGUCCACAAAUAACAAGGCUGGAGAGGGUAUGGAGAAAAAGGAACCCUCCUACACUGUCUUUGGAUAUGUAAAUUGGUGAAGCCACUAAGGAAAACAGUAUGGAGAUUCCUCAAAAAACUGAAAAUAGGGCUACCAUAUGACCCAGAAAUCCUACUCCUCAGCAUGGAUCCGGACAAAACUAUCAUUUGAAAAGAUAUAUGAACUCCAAUGUUAAUUGAAGCACUAUUUGGAAGAGCCAAGACAUGGAAACAACCUAAAUGUCCAUUGAGAGAUGAAUGGAUUAAGAAGAUGCGGUACAUAUAUACAGUGUAAUACUACUCAGCCAUAAAAAGGAAUGAAAUAAUACCAUUUGCAGCAUCAUGGCUAGACCUAGAGAUUAUACUAAGUGAUGUAAGUCUGAAAGAGAAAGACAAAUACCAUAUGAUAUCACUUAUAUGUGGAAUCUAAACUAUGACACAAAUGAACUUAUCUACAAAACAGAAACAGACUCACAGAUAUAGAGAACAGACUUGUGAUUGCCAAGGUGGGAGGAGAGGUGGGGGAGGGAUGGAUUGAGAGUUUGGAAUUAGCAGAUGCAAACUAUUAUAUAAUAAGAUCUACUGUAUAGGACUGAGAUGUAUAGUCAUUAUCCUAGGAUAAACCAUAAUGGAAAAUAUGAAAAAGAAUAUAUUAUAUAUAUAUAUAUAUAUAUAUAUAUGAAUAGCUAACUUUGCUAUACAAUAGAAAUUAGCAUAACAUUGUAAAUAAAUCAUACUUUAAUAAAAAUUUGAAAAAUAAAAA